GACCUGGUGGUGAAUGGUUCACACUCAUCUUCCUUUUGGGUUGAACUGAAAUGCAUGGGAAAUGGGAAUCUCCGGUUCGAUUCCGGGUCAGGUCC